rnacentral:rRNA from 1 species
UACGAAGGGGGCUAGCGUUGCUCGGAAUUACUGGGCGUAAAGGGCGCGUAGGCGGCCCUGUUGGUCGGGCGUGAAAUCCCCGGGCUCAACCCGGGGGCUGCGCCCGAAACGGCGGGGCUGGAGGCAAGGAGAGGCUCGCGGAAUUCCCAGUGUAGAGGUGAAAUUCGUAGAUAUUGGGAAGAACACCGGUGGCGAAGGCGGCGAGCUGGCCUUGAACUGACGCUGAGGCGCGACAGCGUGGGGAGCAAACAGG